UACGGAGGGUGCAAGCGUUGUUCGGAAUCACUGGGCGUAAAGGGCGUGUAGGCGGUCCGCUAAGUCUGAUGUGAAAGCCCGGGGCUCACCCCCGGAAGGGCAUUGGAAACUGGCGGACUCGAGUCCCGGAGAGGAGGGUGGAAUUCCCGGUGUAGCGGUGAAAUGCGUAGAUAUCGGGAGGAACAUCAGUGGCGAAGGCGGCUACCUGGCCCAAUACUGACACUCAGGUGCGAAAGCGUGGGGAGCAAACAGG
rnacentral:rRNA from 1 species